UUUUUACGUGAGCUGAUUGUUUAACCUUAGUUCUAUAUAAACCUUUUCCUUAGGGCUGGAGGUUCUCUCUGUAGCUGUUCACAAUACCCCUCCUCUAGCUCUUUGUAUUCUCUCUGUUUUUCACCACUAUAGCUCUCUAGCUCUUUGUAUUCUCUCUGUUUUCACCACUAUAGCUCUCUAGCUCUUUGUGUUCUCACUGUCUUUCACCACUAUGGCUCUCUAGCUCUUUGUAUUCUCUCUGUUUUUCACCACUGUAGCUCUCUAACUCUUUGUAUUCUCUCUGUUUUUCACCACUAUAGCUCUCUAGCUCUUUGUGUUCUCACUGUCUUUCACCACUAUGGCUCUCUAGCUCUUUGUAUUCUCUCUGUUUUUCACCACUGUAGCUCUCUAGCUCUUUGUAUUCUCUCUGUUUUUCACCACUAUAGCUCUCUAGCUCUUUGUAUUCUCUCUGUUUUUCACCACUAUAGCUCUCUAGCUCUUUGUAUUCUCUCUCUGUUUUUCGCCACUAUAGCUCUCUAGCUCUUUGUAUUCUCUCUGUUUUUCACCACUAUAGCUCUCUAGCUCUUUGUAUUCUCUCUGUUUUUCACCACUAUAGCUCUCUCUCUCUCUGUUUUGAGCUCUCUUCCUCUCGCUGUUUGUAUUCUCUCUGUUUCUCACUACUGUAGCUCUCUCUCUCUGUUUUGACCCCUCUUCCUGUAGCUGUUUGUAUUCUCUCUGUUCUUCACCACUAUAGCUCUCUUUGUGUUUUGAUCUGUUGUUCUCGUCCGUGCGAUUUCUGAGGACGCAUAACACUACACUCUUUUUACACCAAUCUCCAUUUCUGAGAAGGCAUUAACUGUACAUUCUUCGCCUCCUACAUGUGAUCGGUUGUCCCAUCCAUUAGCCUUCAUCUUUUCUGGUAAAUAAAUAUCACAUCUUCCCAACCUUUGAAUUGCAAAUGAAAACAUGAAUCCCAAGGCAUUUAAAUGGUGAAAUAGGGAACGCUGAAGUUUGAUCAGUUAGUGAAAACUCCAGAGUCUCUGAACUACGACUGCCUGGAGCACACGGACUGGGCUUGCUGCUGAGUCGCAAACCAAACACAUGAAAACCGGCCGAGUGUGGCUGGGACAGGUAGCAUAGUCAUGGGUACUGUUACAUUCAUUUUCUUCACGCUUUCGACAGUCAUUGAUGAGAGACUUCAGAGAACUGAAUUAAAUCGAACAAUGAUCACAGGAAGGCAAGAUGGAAGCAUCCCACCAAAUAAUCAGCUAAGGGUGGUGAUCUCCAUUAGGGGUGGGAUCUAUAGGGUAACUCUUUUGCUCUUGAGUACCAUUGAUGAGAAACUUUGCACAACGAUCACUGUUAGACAAGACGGUGAAUCGGCAAAUUUCACGACGAUCAUGGGAGCCAUAGGACGCAUACCACCUAAUAAUACACAAAGUUGGUGGUGGAGGAGAUCACGAGUGGUACUUAUAGGACUGUAAUGCAGAAUAUGUGUGUUGGGGACCUGGUGCCAACACCACAAAAGAGUGCCUCUGUCGCACAAACUGACGGAGGCUGAAGCCAAUAAAUUCCGAGGAAAGGACUAUAUUAAAGGAUUCAUUUAGGAUUGAAAGAUGGAACGAGCAAAAGACAAAUAGAAGAUUUUGAGGACCUAUUUGAGGUGUUUAUGAUAAUGAAAUGGGAUGCAAUAUUUUUCUUUCAGAUUACUUAGAGACUGAAAGGGGACAGAUUUAUUUAGUCCACUGACUGGGUGAUACUUCUCAUCAAGAAUUUGUUUUAAUAAAAAUUCCAGAAGGCUUCUUUGAAUGGAUGGAAGCCCUGAAGGUGCUUGAUCUCAGCUGCAUCGGCAUAUGUUCGCUGCCACUUGAAGGAUCUAUGUCACCUGCAUUGGCAUAUGUUCACUGCCACUUGAAGGAUCUCUGUCACCUUCUUCUAUCUCAUCGUGUAAUUCUAGUGGACUUUGCCUCUAGGACCACUUAAGCAACUCCAAGUGCUGAAUUUUUAUUGCACCAGAAUCAAAAGAUUUCUUGAGGAGAUGGUAGAAUUGGUCAAGCUAUACCAUUUAAACUUGGGAUUGACUCGUGAUCGUCAGUAGAAUAUGGGGUGGUAUCAAGGCUAGUUUGUUUGGAGGAGCUCAAUGUUUUGGAUUGUGGAUGCAUGGAUUGGAAAGUUGUGAGGAGAGGGAGGUAGCACAGAAGCCAGCAGGAGGAAUUGGAGCGCCAGGGCAACUUGAGCUCAAUAAUCACACCCAUUAGCAAUAACCACAUUUUCAACAAAAAACCCAAUGAUGCAGGGAUAUUUCAGCAGCUAAGAGAACUAGGAGUAGAAGGUUGCGAAGACUUGUUCAGUCUCAAGCAACUAUCCUACAUGAAAAUGUUGAAUAUUUUGGAAAUUGUGGGAUGCUUAGAUUAGAAUGGGUUGCCCUUGAUGCUACGUCUAGCUUCUUGCUCGAGGAAUUGCCGGUGCUGAGGAGCAUUUGGAAGGGAUCGUGGCCAUCAUCUUCUUAAUCUCAAAAAAAUCGAUAUAUACAGAUGUGAUGUUUUCUAUAACUUGAAGUCACCCAUACCAGAAUCCAUUAUAUAGGGGCCUUAUUUUUGUUUGUUAGAAUUUACCCCUCAUCUCCAUUUUUGUUUUCUCUUGAUUUGACAUAUAUGUCUUUUAAUUUUUUUACAAUAGGGAAUAAUAUUCAUUUCCAAACU